rnacentral:rRNA from 1 species
UACAGAGGGUGCGAGCGUUAAUCGGAAUUACUGGGCGUAAAGCGUGCGUAGACGGUAGCGUAAGUCAGAUGUGAAAGCCCCGGGCUCAACCUGGGAACUGCAUCUGUGACUGCAUCGCUGGAGUGCGGCAGAGGGGGAUGGAAUUCCGCGUGUAGCAGUGAAAUGCGUAGAUAUGCGGAGGAACACCGAUGGCGAAGGCAAUCCCCUGGGCCUGCACUGACGCUCAUGCACGAAAGCGUGGGGAGCAAACAGG